GACGAACGCUGGCGGCGUGCCUAAUACAUGCAAGUCGAACGCAGUGGGGACGGGUGAGUAACACGUGGGUAACCUCCCAUCAGAGGGGAUAACACUUGGUAACAGGUGCUAAACCGUUACUGGUGGCUGGACCCGCGGUGCAUUAGCUAGUGGGUGAGGGAACGGCUCACCAAGGCCACGAUGCAUAGCCGAGUUGAGAGGGGGAUCGGCCACACUGGGACUGAGACACGGCCCAGACUCCUACGGGAGGCAGCAGUAGGGAAUCUGCGGCAAUGGACGAAAGUCUGACCGAGAAACGCCGCGUGAGUGAAGAAGGUUUUCGGAUCGUAAAACUCUGUUGUUAGAGAAGCGGUAUCUAACCAGAAAGCCACGGCUAACUACGGGCCAGCCGCCGCGGUAAUUC
rnacentral:rRNA from 1 species